AUUGGCGACUAUACCAUGUUGAAAACACUGGUUCUCGUCUGAUUAUCGAAGUUAAACAACCUUGAGGGUGAUCAUUGCUUGCAUAGGUGACCAUAUUAAUCGGGUUCCUAUUUCAAGGCUUAUUGAAAUCUUGCUGGUUGCCUUAU
rnacentral:rRNA from 1 species